CUUUCCCCCUCUUUCUCUUCUCUUCCUCUCAGUUGGAAAAAAAAAAAAAGGAAAAGAAGAAAAAAAAUUGUCAAGCCCCCGAACUGAAGGUUACGAGCGGCCCGUCAGCAGCCCACAUGUAACCGAACUGUCGUGUUUCAUGGCUUUUUGCCACUCCAGCUGUCAAUCAAAGCCCGGAAUGUCAAGAAGAAACUCCAAGAUUAAAAGCAUCCUUCUUAUUUGUUACUGAGUUUGUCGUCGACGUAUAAAAAAAGGUUUAUAAGCAUCUCCCUGUUCGUGUUUGCGCCUUACCUCCCUCUUGCCACGCACUCGAAGGCAGAGGCAUCCAGGCAUCGCCCCCAGAGAGCUGUGUUUACUUAGUUUUUAAAAAAGUCUCUGCACCACGUAUGACAAGUGUUACUUCAAGAAAUUCAUCAACCUUCUACAGAUACUUCCAGUGUUGCCGUAAUGAUCUGCAGAAGAGAACUGCCAUCACUUUUUCACAACCCAAGGUGUUGCAGGAACUCAGAGAACAGAGGGAGAGUGGCUGAAACGCUAA